GCCCGGCUAGCUCAGUUGGUAGAGCAUUCGACUCUUACGAGUAAUUGUUUCCUAAGGGCAUUUGGUAUCGAAUUGUCGUGGGUUCGAGCCCCACGUUGGGCG
rnacentral:tRNA from 1 species